rnacentral:lncRNA from 1 species
GUUGUUUCAGGAAGCUGAUGUACAUAUAUAUGCAGAUGACAGCACAUCCUGGCCACCAACAUAUUAAUCCAGUUUUCAUUUCACAGGAAACCUGACUGUGAGAAAGGCAAGGCACAGUGCGCUCACACAGUGACUGACUCAGUCCCCACGAGCAAACAGAGGGUCACAAUUGAUGCCAUGGCUCUGCUGGACUGCCAGGGAUGCUGAGCUGGGUCUUCUGGCAGCAACAAUCAGUGACACAAAUUAUGCUUGAAGCCCACCAGAAUGAUGGAAGAUGAAAGAAGGAAAGAAGAGGAGGAUUAUGUCCGGCUACUACAGUGCAUUUUGCAGAAGCAAACCAACCGCCAGUAGCCAGUGUCUGGAGCAUGGAACCUUUGCCUCACAAAGAGAAAGGCAGUCUGUUUCAUUGAAUCUGAGAGAACUCAGCAAGAUUAGGAAGGCUUUCCUUUUCCAAGAACAGAUGAUUGUCUACAAUGAAGCAAGGCACCUGCUCCUAUCUAAUAGUGUCUCUACCUUCCCGUUUUUGCACAGACUGACAGCUUGUGAUAUGUAA